AGAGCUAAAAGAAUAUCCCAGCAUACCUAGACGAUCUCCGCAAAGACUGUGUGGUAUGUUGUGAAGGUUAAGCUGUAUCAAGCUAUGUACUAGAGUCAAUUCGAAGAACCAUUAACAUGGCAGCUAAUGUUUGCAGUUUCAACAACAAAGGCUGAUAAAGUUGUCUUGCAAUGGGAAAGCGGGAGAAUCUCUUGAGUUUUCUCAUGAAGAGUUUUCACUAACAGGAAGAAGUUGAUAUAAUUUCUUAUCCCCUUUUGCU